CAGCUGCUCCUCAAGUCUCUCAUACCUGAACAUACAACCCAAACCAACCCAGCAGAACCAAACAGAACAGAACAAAAUGCUUGAUUAGGACAUCUACCCACAGCCGGAUGUAAGUAAUAACUCACUGGACAACAGAAGACAUAUUAAUCCUGAGCUGAAAAUAGACCUUAAUAGUCAGAUAUCCUGAUAAGAAACUUCAACACAGAUUCAUGGUAAAUCUGAUGUCAUUUAUAUUAAUCAGAAUAAAAUUAGAGAUAUCUCAAAUAGGUAUUUUGUCUAGUUAAAGCAUAAUUAGAGAUGUCUUCAUUUGCUAAUACGUCAGAUAUUUGGAAUUGAAAUGUGGUGAAGCUGAUUUUAUGUUAAAAUGGCCGUCCUGCAGAACGGCAGUAGGAACAUGGAGGGGGCUGAGU